AUGAAGAACGCAGCGAAAUGCGAUAAGUAGUGUGAAUUGCAGAAUUCAGUGAAUCAUCGAAUCUUUGAACGCACAUUGCGCCCCUUGGUAUCCCGAGGGGCAUGCCUGUUCGAGCGUCAUUUCACCACUCAAGCCUGGCUUGGUGUUGGGCGACGUCCUCUUUGGGGACGCGCCUCGAAACGCUCGGCGGCGUGGCACCGGCUUUAAGCGUAGCAGAAUCUUUCGCUUUGGAAGUCGGGGCCCCGUCUGCCGGAAGACCUGCUCGCAAGGUUGACCUCGGAUCAGGCAGGGAUACCCGCUGAACUUAAGCAUAUCAAUAAGCGGAGGA
rnacentral:misc_RNA from 1 species